GACGAACGCUGGCGGCGUGCCUCAAACAUGCAAGUCGAGCGGGGAACUUUUAAAAGCGCAAGCUUUUAAAAGUUCCUAGCGGCGAACGGGUGAGUAACACGUGGGCAACCUACCCAGAAGACCGGGAUAACGGCUCGAAAGGGCCGCUAAUACCGGAUAAUGUCGGGGUACCGCAUGGUACUCCGAAGAAAGGGGAAACCCGCUUUUGGAUGGGCCCGCGUCCCAUCAGCUAGUUGGUGAGGUAACGGCUCACCAAGGCGACGACGGGUAGCCGGUCUGAGAGGAUGGUCGGCCACACUGGGACUGAGACACGGCCCAGACUCCUACGGGAGGCAGCAGUUGGGAAUCUUGGGCAAUGGGCGAAAGCCUGACCCAGCGACGCCGCGUGAGGGAAGAAGGCCUUCGGGUCGUAAACCUCUGUCAUGGGGAAGAAGCAAGUGACGGUACCCAACGAGGAAGCCCUCGCUAACUACGUG
rnacentral:rRNA from 1 species